rnacentral:rRNA from 1 species
GACGAACGCUGGCGGCGUGCUUAACACAUGCAAGUCGAACGGAAAGGCCCUGCUUUUGUGGGGUGCUCGAGUGGCGAACGGGUGAGUAACACGUGAGUAACCUGCCCUGGACUUUGGGAUAACUUCAGGAAACUGGGGCUAAUACCGGAUAGGAGCUCCUGCUGCAUGGUGGGGGGUGGAAAGUUUCGGCGGGUGGGGAUGGGCUCGAGGCUUAUCAGCUUGUUGGUGGGGUAGUGGCUUACCAAGGCUUUGACGGGUAGCCGGCCUGAGAGGGUGACCGGCCACAUUGGGACUGGGGUACGGCCCAGACUCCUACGGGAGGCAGCGGUGAGGAAUAUUGGCCAAUGGGCGGAAGCCGGAUGCAGCAACGCCGCGUGCGGGAUGACGGCCUUCGGGUUGUAAACCGCUUUCGCCUGUGACGAAGCGUGAGUGACGGUAAUGGGUAAAGAAGCACCGGCUAACUACGUG